rnacentral:rRNA from 1 species
AGUGAACGCUGGCGGUAGGCCUAACACAUGCAAGUCUAACGGCAGCACAGUAAGAGCUUGCUCUUACGGGUGGCGAGUGGCGGACGGGUGAGGAAUACAUCGGAAUCUACUUUUUCGUGGGGGAUAACGUAGGGAAACUUACGCUAAUACCGCAUACGACCUACGGGUGAAAGCAGGGGAUCUUCGGACCUUGCGCGAUUGAAUGAGCCGAUGUCGGAUUAGCUAGUUGGCGGGGUAAAGGCCCACCAAGGCGACGAUCCGUAGCUGGUCUGAGAGGAUGAUCAGCCACACUGGAACUGAGACACGGUCCAGACUCCUACGGGAGGCAGCAGUGGGGAAUAUUGGACAAUGGGCGCAAGCCUGAUCCAGCCAUACCGCGUGGGUGAAGAAGGCCUUCGGGUUGUAAAGCCCUUUUGUCGGGAAAGAAAAGCAGCAGGUUAAUACCCCGCUGUUCUGACGGUACCCAAAGAAUAAGCACCGGCUAACUUCGUG